rnacentral:rRNA from 1 species
ACGAACGCUGGCGGCGUGCCUAACACAUGCAAGUCGAACGGAACUUUUUUAAAAGAUUUCUUCGGAAUGAUUUUGAUUAAGUUUAGUGGCAGACGGGUGAGUAACGCGUGAGUAACCUGCCUCUAAGAGGGGAAUAACAUUCUGAAAAGAAUGCUAAUACCGCAUAACAUAUAUUUAUCGCAUGGUAGAUAUAUCAAAGAUUUAUCGCUUAGAGAUGGACUCGCGUCCGAUUAGUUAGUUGGUGAGGUAACGGCUCACCAAGACUGCGAUCGGUAGCCGGACUGAGAGGUUGAACGGCCACAUUGGGACUGAGACACGGCCCAGACUCCUACGGGAGGCAGCAGUGGGGGAUAUUGCGCAAUGGGGGAAACCCUGACGCAGCAACGCCGCGUGAAGGAUGAAGGUCUUCGGAUUGUAAACUUCUUUUAUUAAGGACGAAGAAAGUGACGGUACUUAAUGAAUAAGCUCCGGCUAACUACGUGCCAGCAGCCGCGGUAAUACGUAGGGAGCAAGCGUUGUCCGGAUUUACUGGGUGUAAAGGGUGCGUAGGCGGCUUUGCAAGUCAGAUGUGAAAUCUAUGGGCUCAACCCAUAGCCUGCAUUUGAAACUGCAGAGCUUGAGUGAAGUAGAGGCAGGCGGAAUUCCCCGUGUAGCGGUGAAAUGCGUAGAGAUGGGGAGGAACACCAGUGGCGAAGGCGGCCUGCUGGGCUUUAACUGACGCUGAGGCACGAAAGCGUGGGUAGCAAACAGGAUUAGAUACCCUGGUAGUCCACACAGUAAACGAUGAAUACUCGCUGUUUGCGAUAUACAGUAAGCGGCCAAGCGAAAGCGUUAAGUAUUCCACCUGGGGAGUACGUUCGCAAGAAUGAAACUCAAAGGAAUUGACGGGCGCCCGCACAAGCAGUGGAGUAUGUGGUUUAAUUCGAAGCAACGCGAAGAACCUUACCAGGUCUUGACAUCCUACUAACGAGAUAGAGAUAUGUUAGGUGCCCUUCGGGGAAAGUAGAGACAGGUGGUGCAUGGUUGUCGUCAGCUCGUGUCGUGAGAUGUUGGGUUAAGUCCCGCAACGAGCGCAACCCUUGCUAUUAGUUGCUACGCAAGAGCACUCUAAUAGGACUGCCGUUGACAAAACGGAGGAAGGUGGGGACGACGUCAAAUCAUCAUGCCCCUUAUGACCUGGGCUACACACGUACUACAAUGGACAUUAACAGAGGGAAGCAAUACAGCGAUGUGGAGCAAACCCCUAAAAAUGUUCUCAGUUCAGAUUGCAGGCUGCAACCCGCCUGUAUGAAGAUGGAAUUGCUAGUAAUCGCAGAUCAGCAUGCUGCGGUGAAUACGUUCCCGGGCCUUGUACACACCGCCCGUCACACCAUGGGAGCCGGUAAUACCCGAAAUCAGUAGUCUAACCGCAAGGAGGACGCUGCCGAAGGUAGGAUUGGCGACUGGGGUG